UGUUGCAAGAACCCCACAAGGGCAACAGUGUGACUGAAGCCAGAAGCGGAGGCUCCCAAGAAAAAGGAUCUACUGCAGCUGUGGAUUACGCCAAACACAAGCCCUGAGACACGCUGUGGAUGUGUGAAGGAUUCUGUUCGGGCAGGGAAACUUCUUCUUACAACCUAUGUACAGAUGUGUCUGAAUUUAGUAAGUAGAUCCUUCAAGUAUUUGCAACCUUGAGAAAAUAAAACGUAGCCUGCUGUGCAGAACCUCUCUACUCUCCCAGAAAUCAGCUGGUGGACAAAAAAGGGACAAACCGCAGCAGAAGAGACAACCACCUAAAUUAAAUAAUUGCAUCCUACAGAAAUCUUUUUUGCUCAUCUCCAAAUAUCAUUGAUUACCUCUUUUAGAUGAAGCAUUGAACAUCCCUGCGUAUGUUUUAUCUGAUAAGGUUCAUGUAUUUUACUCAGCCAAUUUUAGUCAUAAUAUCUCAGAUCAGUGGUCCUCAACCUAGGGUAAUUUUGCACCCCAAGGAAUAUUUGGUAGUGUCUGGAGAUACAUUUGCCACGGCUGGGAAGUUCUAGUGGCAUCUCACGUGUGGAGGACAGAGAAGCUGCUCAACAUCCUACGACUCACAGGAUGGCCCUCUCCAACAAGGAAUUAUCCAACAGCAAAUGCGCAUAGU